rnacentral:rRNA from 1 species
AAGGGCGUUGAAGCAUGAUCGUAAGGACAUGUGGAGCGCUUAGAAGUGAGAAUGCCGGUGUGAGUAGCGAAAGACGGGUGAGAAUCCCGUCCACCGAUUGACUAAGGUUUCCAGAGGAAGGCUCGUCCGCUCUGGGUUAGUCGGGUCCUAAGCUGAGGCCGACAGGCGUAGGCGAUGGAUAACAGGUUGAUAUUCCUGUACCACCUAUAAUCGUUUUAAUCGAUGGGGGGACGCAGUAGGAUAGGCGAAGCGUGCGAUUGGAUUGCACGUCUAAGCAGUAAGGCUGAGUAUUAGGCAAAUCCGGUACUCAUUAAGGCUGAGCUGUGAUGGGGAGAAGACAUUGUGUCUUCGAGUCGUUGAUUUCACACUGCCGAGAAAAGCCUCUAGAUAGAAAAUAGGUGCCCGUACCGCAAACCGACACAGGUAGUCAAGAUGAGAAUUCUAAGGUGAGCGAGCGAACUCUCGUUAAGGAACUCGGCAAAAUGACCCCGUAACUUCGGGAGAAGGGGUGCUCUUUAGGGUUAACGCCCAGAAGAGCCGCAGUGAAUAGGCCCAAGCGACUGUUUAUCAAAAACACAGGUCUCUGCUAAACCGUAAGGUGAUGUAUAGGGGCUGACGCCUGCCCGGUGCUGGAAGGUUAAGAGGAGUGGUUAGCUUCUGCGAAGCUACGAAUCGAAGCCCCAGUAAACGGCGGCCGUAACUAUAACGGUCCUAAGGUAGCGAAAUUCCUUGUCGGGUAAGUUCCGACCCGCACGAAAGGCGUAACGAUUUGGGCACUGUCUCAACGAGAGACUCGGUGAAAUCAUAGUACCUGUGAAGAUGCAGGUUACCCGCGACAGGACGGAAAGACCCCGUGGAGCUUUACUGUAGCCUGAUAUUGAAAUUCGG